UUUCCACACACCCUCUCUCUGUCUCUUUGUUGCAUGCAUUGUUCUUGAUCUUGAUCAUAUUGUUUUCUUUUGUUGGAAUUAAUCCUGCUGCUUAAUAGGGAAGACCCAUCCCAUUUGAUCACUUCCCCAAUUUAAUAAUUUUUCUUAAAGUAGAAAGCUAACAUGUUAUAUAUGUACAUAGUACUUUAUUAGGUUUCGUUUUAGGAUUGAUUUUGUGGGUUUAGGAUCUUGAUUGGUUAAUGUCCUGCUUGGUCACUGAGAAUUUGAAGUUUUCAAUUUUUUUGAAAGCUUUGAAUUGGAAGGGAAAAUUCUUCUGAUGUUUAAUUGAAAUGAGUAUUUCAAAGAUUGCGUAUUUUUUGGAAUUUUCAUGCUUCGAAGCUCAAGAGGCUAUGCCACUGGUAUUUCAAAUGGUACUUUGGUUUCUUACAUUGAUUCCUUUAUGUUGAUAUAUGUAAUUUGGUUUUAUAGGUCACGGUUUGUCAGCAAGAAAAUUAAGCUGCAAAUUCAUUUGAGUUUUUCAUUAUCAUAGUGGGAAGUUGGAUCAGUCUGGUUGUGUCUAAUUGUUCUACUGUUCUCCGAGAACACAAGAUACUUCAUUCCAAGUUUGACUCAAAUUUAGAUGCAGUACGUCAGCCAUCAAAUCUGCAAUUCUCUAUGAUGGUUCAAUUACAAAUUUUGAUUCCCGGUUGAGUGGAUUUGAUAUUGGCGCUUGCGUAGAGGUAAUUUCUAACAUAUUUGUCUUUCAAACCCUUCUUUAGAAAGUUCUGCCACAUAAAACCUGUAAAUAUUCCUGUUUGCACAGAAAUCAGGUGCCCCCGUUGUACUGUAAUUGGUUUAUAAUGUUGCUUGCUCUGAUUGGAAAUCAUAGGUAAUAGAGCAUAUGGACGAAGAUCACGCAUCUGAGUUUGGC